rnacentral:rRNA from 1 species
UACGAAGGGAGCUAGCGUUGUUCGGAAUCACUGGGCGUAAAGCGCACGUAGGCGGAUGUGUCAGUCAGGGUGAAAUCCCGGGGCUCAACCUCGGAACUGCCUUUGAUACAGCACGUCUUGAGUCCGAUAGAGGUGGGUGGAAUUCCUAGUGUAGAGGUGAAAUUCGUAGAUAUUCGGAGGAACACCAGUGGCGAAGGCGGCUCACUGGUCCAUUACUGACGCUGAGACGCGAAAGCGUGGGAGCGAACGAGG